CAGUAGCCGCGGUAAUACAGAGGGUGCGAGCGUUAAUCGGAUUUACUGGGCGUAAAGCGUGCGUAGGUGGCCAAUUAAGUCAAAUGUGAAAUCCCCGAGCUUAACUUGGGAAUUGCAUUCGAUACUGGUUGGCUAGAGUAUGGGAGAGGAUGGUAGAAUUCCAGGUGUAGCGGUGAAAUGCGUAGAGAUCUGGAGGAAUACCGGUGGCGAAGGCAACCAUCUGGCCUAAUACUGACACUGAGGUACGAAAGCAUGGGGAGCAAACAGGAUUAGAUACCCGCGUAGUCCCUGUCUCUUAUAC
rnacentral:rRNA from 1 species